GCCACACUCCCUCCGCAGACUGCGCGCUCUCUCUUGGCCCCUCCUCCUUCCUCCUCCCCUCCCUCCCGCGCGAACAUGGCGGCGCCCUUAGCGCAGCAGCUGGAGGAGCUGCUCAACCCCCGGCCCAGCUUGCGCGACCCCGAGGACGACGCGGAGGAAGCUACAGUCGCUAAAGUGAUUGACAAAUUUGAGGAUGAAACUGCAGAUGACAUUUUCCCUGUUGGUAAUAUACGGAAAAGAGCUUCAGCAUCUCUCUUGGAAGCUGAUAAAAGGUACGGUGGAAAAGCUACAUCGCGCAAAGCCUUGCAAGAAGAGCUCUGGGGAGAUGCUCUCUCUGAAGAAGGAUCUGCUGGAGAAGCAUUAGAUGAAUGGUACAGUGGCAGUGAAGAUUCAGAAGAGGAUGGCGGCGUAAGCAGUGAGACAAAGGAGAAGCCCAGUGGUGUUGGCAGUGACCAGGAGGAUGACUUGGAAGAUGUUGAAGAGGCAGAUCUGGCUGUCGAGGCUAAGGCACCGAAGUUCAGUUUCCAGGAUAACACAGACUUUGAGAAAUUUGCAGAGGGGAUGGAUGAUGUUGGAAGCAGUGAGGGAGAAGAUGAAGAUGAGGAUGAAGAUGGUGCCAGCAUGGAAGAAGGAAGUGACGAGGAGGAGUAUGGGAGUGAAAAUCAUGAGAGUAUAAAGGAAACUAAAGACAGUGAAGAUGAUGGGGGGAUAAGGACUUUCUCAAAAGCAAAAGAGUCUGAAGAAGUAGAAAAAGGAAAAGCUGUGAGGAACCAGCUAGUACUGUGGGAUCAACUAUUGGAAGCAAGAAUCAAGAUGCAGAAGGCACUUACAACAGUCAACCGGCUUCCACAGCCAGACACUUACCCAGUCUUCAAAAAGGAAGGUGGACAAGAAUUUGACAACGCUGUGGAGAACUGUUGUAGAGCCGUGGAGGCAUUGCUGAAAGUAUUAGUGGACCUUCAGGAUGAGCUGCUUUAUGAAUACCCAGGCACGAGGCAUCUGGUAGAUGGAAAGCAAUCAAAAACUGAGAGUGAUGAUGAAAUCCCUAGCAGUACCGAUGAAGAGCAGGUGGAUAAGGCUCCAGAGAAGAAGAGGAGGCUCCCCAAACGAAAACUAAACAUGGAGGACUACCCAGAAUUCAUAGCCAAGCGGUAUGCCAGCUUCAGGACGUAUCGGAACAAUGUCUUGCAGAAGUGGCAUGAGAAGACAAAGCUGGCAUCUGGCAAAAUGGGAAAGGGUUUCGGUGCCUUUGAGCGUUCAAUCUUGACUCAGAUUGAUCAUAUUAUGAUGGACAAAGAGAGAUUACUACGGCGGACACAGACCAAGCGAUCAGUGUAUACAGUGCUGGGAAAGGAGGAACAGGAAUCUCAUCCAGUCCCUGAAUCUUUGCCUGAAAAUUCGGAAGUCCUCCCUGAGUCAGAUUCCAACAGGCACCUGAAGGACAUCGAUGAGGAGAUUUUUGAUGAUGAUGACUUCUAUCACCAGCUCCUUCGAGAAUUUAUAGAACGUAAAACCACUUCGCUGGACCCCAACGACCAGGUAGCAAUGGGCAGGCAGUGGCUGGCCAUCCAAAAGUUACGAAGCAAAAUAAAGAAGAAAGUGGACAGAAAAGCCAGUAAAGGAAGGAGAAUUCGGUAUCAUGUCCAUAGCAAGCUGGUGAGCUUCAUGGCACCUAUUGACCACUGUACAAUGAAUGAUGAUGCCAGGACGGAGCUUUAUCGGUCGCUGUUUGGGAAGAUCACUAGUGCCGAAGAACCUGAGCAGAAUUAGCAUUGGGCGAAGACUGAGCCCAGCGCCAGGCUCCACACCGCACGCCUUGGCCUGGCCGCUGUGCCAGGUAACUUCACCCUGUGCUGGCGGCUGCUGCGGCUCUGACAGCCCCCCCUGGCCUGGAGCACCCAAGCAGGGGCUCUCCACCUGCUGGUUCCUUGCUGAAAUCCUCACCGAGGGAACAUCAGACAUGGUUACUGCUAAAUCACACAGCUCAGGAGCGAGGUUAGACGCUUAAACGCCGUUUAAGGACGGUUAAACGCCGUCCUCUCUAGCUUUAAAAUGAACUCCCCUUCCUCCCAAAGACAAUCCAUUUUUAACUAUUCUCUUUAAAUUCCUGACCUUGAUUUUGCAGCCUGCUCAGCGCAGGCACGGCGUUCUGCCGGGGGGAGGGACGCAGUUCAGACCAGCGGGGACCACCAGCCCCCCUGCAAUCAGGUCACCCACGGCUAUGUUAAAUCCAUCGGGAUUUUCAUUUGGGGGUUGGGGAGUGUUUAAGCGUGCUGUUCUGGUCCUUGGCUGCAUAUCUGGAAUGAGUGACUUUAUUUUUCACUGAGUCAAGAGGAUUUAAAUGUCAUUUACAUAAUUAACAUGGCCUUAAAACAGAGGAAAGGUGCUCUCCCUUGCAGGCAGCCAGAGCUCCCCGUUCACGCUCCCGUUCCUGAAUGAGCGCUCGCUGCCCACAGAGACAUUUGCUGACUGGGGAUGAGCACAAGGCGGGGUGCAUGUGGGGGUGCUUUUGCAACUGGAAUAUAUGGGUGAAUUUUUCAGCCCAGCAUUGAUCCUUUUUACACUUAAUGAUUGCUGCUGCUUGCGAUUUGGAACCAUUCUGUCUUCUCCAUCAUUGUGACACACUGUUGAAGGAUGCCGGCACAAGUGUGAGACUGGCCAGAGGAGAUGGCACAGUUGAGGGCUUUGUGGGGGUUUUAUAUCCAGAGGUCAUAAACCAGAAAUUAAAUUCCCGUAAGGGGAAUUUGUCAGCCUGCGGUGAUCGGUCUGAAAUGGGGUUAUCUUGUGUAAAUAAUAUGUGUGCAUGCGUGUGUGCAAGUUGGCCGUUGCUGGUGACCACAUGAAGGGCACUGCCUUUGGUGUUCUGUGCGAUCUAAUUAAAAUGCUUUGUAAACUGAUUGUCCAAGUGCAGUGGGUGCAGGAAAGGUCCCAGCAGCCCCGGCCUCUCUCAGCCCCACUUACACGGUGUUACUUAACUGGUGUCUUUGGCGUCACUUUGCGCAGAGCCGGCACUGUGUGAGCAGUGAACAGCCAAAACACACAGGCAGAGAGGCCAGAGUGCUGUAGGAUGGAGCUGGAAACCUCUUGUCCAGCCGGGGCUCAUUCCUGGCCGUCCCUGGGGUCGCGGGGGCUCUGGAGCUGGUCUGACUCGGUACAGCCAUUUCACAGGGCUCAGGUGAUCUGAGCCCCUCUGCAAGGUCCUGCUAGUGACAGGAGGAGGUUUCUGCCAGGCCUCUUGUGUCUCUGUGAUGCUGUGGGCUCGUGAGCUGCUUCCCUGGUUUGGGCUGGUGCGGUGUGGCUGCUGCAGUGACUGAGUGGAAGGUGGUGUUUUUGUGACAUCCACUGCACAGCAUCGAGUUGGGAAAGCUUGCAAGAGUAUUGACAUUUCUGUUCACCAUCUGAAAAGCCCCAUUUCUGAACUUCAUAGUAAGACACGGGGGAUUUUGGUUUCUUCCCUGCGUAAGUUACAGCUUAGCAGGUUUUCAGUGGGCAACUAAAUUCCUUUUUCAGCUUAAAUAAAAUUCCACUCUGUUUUCUAAGUAUGUAAAAAGUUAAAGCAGAGGGGGGGAGACCACCCCACAGCCCGUGUUUCCCUGGCAGGUGAGGCCUGGCCUGCAGGAACAUCUGAUCACACCUUGGGUCUCCUCACGGGCGUUACCCCUUUCCUUCUCCUCCUGCUGUGCUGCUCCCCAGGUCCUGCUGCUGCUUGGAACGGGAUGUGCACUGCACCGUGCCCGUGGUGCUGUCUAUAGAGCUGGUAUUAAUUAAUCAGUUUUGUGCCUCAUCAUUGCACGUUUAAGUCUCCCCUCUAGUCACCAGCUUUCAAUACAGAGCUUCCCGAUACCUUCAGCAUUGUGUGGAGUACAGGGGCUGCCCCACGGAGCGAGAGCCAGCUCAGCUGCAGUGCCUUGGCCUGAGUGGUGCCAGGUGUGGGCAAUCCUGCGUUAAGAGCAGGAAAAACCCUCACACCUGAGUAGGGGUGCAGUUCUGGCUGAAUUCCAUGUUGGUGUGGCUGUGCCGGGAGGAGCUGCUGGCUCUAGGAAGCCAUUGGAGCUUUUCUUUUCCCUGUUCCUGGCUGGUGCUGGCCCUCGGCCCUUCCGAUCAGUGUGGGAGAGACGGCAGUGGAGGGCAGGCUCCCUGCCUGCGGACAACGUAGCAUUUUUCUGGGCUUUAGAAAAUAAGUGCCAAGGUGAGUAUUGACUUUGUGUGGAAAACAUACUUAUCAUGGAUGAAUAAAUCUUUAUGCUUGCUUGCAGCGAAGCAGGAGCUGCAGCUCCCUGGGCAAUGCAUUGAUUUCUCCCGUCCUGCUCCAGCUCGCAUCUCUCUGGUGAAAAUUCACCAGGCAGAAAUGUGCUUAAUGUCACCAUUGGCUCCUCUCUGCUGCCCUUUCUGUUUCAGGAUCCAGUGAUGGCGUCAGGUACAGCAAAGAGCCCAGCAGCAACUUCUGUCCCUCCCAUGAAGCUCAUGUGAGCUGCGAGAGUCAGAGACAAGGCACGGUUGUGGGAGCUGUGGGGAGAAGAGCCCAGAGGGCCCUUGGCUGCAGGGAAGGGCUGAUUUCAGACACCUGUACUGAGGUGUGGUGAGCAAUCAGCGAGCCCCUUCCUUUAGUUCCCUGUGCAGCCUAUCUGUGAGCUGCUCCACUGCAGAGGGAUGCAGCUGUGGGACACCCCAGGUGUUCUGCUCCUCCAGGUUUGACUGUCUUCCAUGGCAAAUCCUGGCAAUAUUGGGUCCUGUCUCCUCUGUCCAUUCCCCCCUUCAAUUCCGGCUCCCUGGUGAGAGGCAGAAGCCAGCGUGACACAGCGGCACCUUCUGCCGUAUUGGCACACUGUGCCCACUGCGAGUCGGGGCGGUGUCCCCACCCGUUGAACUCUACCUGUACUUAUUUUCUGAGCAGCAGCAAAGCUGUGCAGUCUUCGAACAUCAUUAAAAUCUCAUGGUUUAAUAACCACAAUUCUGAAAGGCAUCAAGGGGAGUAAAUUAGCUGCUUCCAAAGUUUGUGUCGGUGGAAUGGUUUCACGCUGCUUGCGCUGUCAGAGUGAGCAUUAGGGAUAUUUAACAGAAAGCACCGCAUCCCUACUUUGGGGUUUGCUGUGCUGGCAAGUCUGGCUGCUCUUUGCGGCUGAGGCUCGGGGUGUUGUCGGAACGUGCUGUGGCCGUGUCACCCCUUUCCCGUUUGACAACGCUGUCCUUUACAGCCCCAGCACCAGGGCACUUGAUUUUCCCUUGUUUCCUGAGAGCCCGCUGGAUGUGAUGUUAAAAGGGUAAUACAAAACACUUAAAUGUGAUAUGUUUGAAGAGAUAAGAGUCCAAGCCCUACUAAGCAUGCUUUUGAAUUUACUUAUCAGUGUUUAAGCAGGCUGUUCUCCCUGCCAGCCCCCACCACCUGGGUAGCGCGAUACACGGGGAGGCCCUGGUGCGGUGAGGCCCAUUCCAUCUGCUGACCUUGCUGGUAAGGGCAGUGCUUUAUUCCUGGCAGGAAAAUGGUCCCUCGCCUGGAUUGCACUGCGCUGCAGGAGAAAGUGCAGCCGGUGUAAUCCCUGAGGAACAACGCAACAGCGCUGCCAGCGAGGUGCCUGUGUCCAGCAGUGGCGCGGCUGCAGCUCUGCCCUCAGUGGCUCUGCCAGGGAAGGGGUUCCGUGUGCGCCAGGCUCUGCACUACCCACCACCCCCAGCCCGGCACAGGGGCAGGCGCUGCUCCCCGGCUCCGUCCCAUCCGCACCCCCAGUGCAGUGGGUGGCCCUGGAGCAGCACCGGCCGGGCCAGAGCCAGCGCACCCGAGAGUUGGGGGCUGUGGCGCAGGCAGAAGCUUUGAGAGCUGUGUAAUAAGGGCACAGAUAACCAGGAUGAUUUCCACUAAGUUUUCCUAAUGCUGCCAAUUAACAGCAAGUGAGAUAUUCCUCCUCCUCAAAUCGAAUAUUAAUUCUUUAUUAAUUCAUGGUACAGCUGCUAAUUAGUACCUACACAAAUAGGCAUUUUACCUUCGCAAAACAUUGCCCAGCGACGAGACGGUUACUGGGGAAUUGUGUGUGUGAUGGGGGACAGAGGGGUUGGGUUAAUCCUCCCCCCAACCCCACAGUAGCAAAGAAUUUCAACUUUCAGACAAACAACUUCAUUUACAAGUAUGUCUCUAAUUAGCUGCAGAAUUAGUAAAGCAGAGUUUUCCCCCCAUAGAUCGGCCAAACCCCUGAGGGAGGCUGUGGAAUAGAGAGAAUCGCAUUUCCAAUUAUUUUGUUGAAUUGCUAAUUUAGUUAUUGUGCCUGGCGUAAUUGUGAUGGGUAUUGGGUGUGCAAUUCAAUUUGUUUUAAAUAUUUGUGGGAAGGCUGAUCAGUAAUGGAGCUGACCUAUUUCAUGGCCCAAAUUGAGGGAAGAGACUAAAACAAAACACAGCUACAAAGCCACAGUUUGUCUCAGUUUUUAUUUUGAUGUCUCUCAUCCCUCUUAAGACUGUUGAUGCAACAAAAGGUUUACAUUAAAAGAUGAUGGCACUUUGAUCUUGGGCUUUUGAGAGCUUACAGCUCUGGUACUGCUUUUCUUGGCAUUUUAAUAUGUAGAUAUUUUAGGCUAAAGAGUUUUAAAUGUGUUUCUGGAGUUCAGUGGGCUCCAUCCCCUCACACACACAGUUCUGUUCGUUAAGGUGAUUUGUGUUUUUAACCCUCUGAAUUCUGCUUUGACAAAUGUGUGAGAAACAGCUGCUGCCGCUGUGUCCAGUUUAACACAUCCUGGAACGCUCACCUUUAACACAGGGAACGUCUGGGCUGUGUUUGUGCCUGCGGGGCUCCGGGGUGGCAGGGGACGCCCCAAGGUCCCUGGUUCCAUCCAGUGGGAUCCUGGCAGAGAUCCCUGCCCGUGGGGGCUGGAGGCUGUGGGGGCUCUCCUGCCUCCCCCACGGCAGUUGCUGGGGCUGUGCUUUCUGCUCGUUUCAGUUGCUGUUGUGUUAAAGACAACAACAAAUCCAUGGAGGAGGAACAGGACACGCUAAUGGCUCGCUGGGAUGGCAGCUGCAGGCAAGGAGUUGCGCCCGGAGCCUUGGGCAGGGACCGGACCUGCGGGGGGACAAGGAGCCGGUCCUUUUGCCCCAGCACGGCUCCGCGCCGACCACCCCACUCCUCCGGCUGCUCAGGGGCUGGAGUGGACGCAACAAAGCUCGGAGAAAGAUGAAGGUCUGAUAGGGAAAGCGGAGCUCUCCGUACGGCGCUUGGGACAAGGGGGACAGAUUUCCACUCCUGGCAACAGCGAGGUAAUUCAUUGUUUUUAUUAAAAGAAACUGAGGUAAGUGAAAUACUUCAGCACCAGCGAGAACCACGUGUACCAGGGGUGCCCUCCCCGCCACCCUGGCCCUGCUGGGGAGCCGACCCGCACCACUGCUGGGCUCAGGGAGAACGGCCGAGACGUCAGCUCCUGCAGGCCUGGACCUCCUCAGGGCUCCUGGGCCUUGUGCCGAGCUUGGGCUUAAGCUCCAGUGUUACCCAGCGGCUGGUUCUUGGAGCUACUUUAACCCCAGAUUAAGUGGGGCCUGACCCCGUGCCUGUAACACUGCAACAGAGGGUGGCUGCUCCAGCCCGAGCAGGAGCAACGGAGCAGUGGGCACGGGGACAUCUCCUGUAACACCUGCAGGAGUCCUACCACCCUGUAGGGAAUCCUGGUGACAGCAGAGGAGCUGCAGUGCCCCCGAGCUGUCCUGCCUGGCUGAGAGGAGACAUUCUCUGUCCUGUGCGUCCUGCCGCGGCCCUGACUGGCAGUAAUAAGUAACAGCAUCUUUGGGGGCUCAAGGACCGCUAGUGGAAAAAAAAAAGUCUCCUAAGUCUCCUAAAUGAAAUGAGAGUUCUUAACUAUUAAGAAAAAUCUCGUCCUUCAGCUGACGCAGCUCUGCUGGCCGGGGCUGGGCUGCCCCGCUGGCAUCAGGCAUCCAGCAGGGCCGCAUCGCGUGUCAGAAGGAAACAGUACAGGCAUGAGGCACAGGCGUUAAUAUAUGCUCUCACAGAAACAUCCCUUCCGAUUCAUGCUUUACUGUCAUAAAACCUGAAACACUUUAAGACAAGUUCUGUAACAGUAACAGCAUCCAGAUGCUGGGGGCUGGCAGGGCUUCCCUCCAGAGUUCCAGCUUCUCUGGCAUUUUAUUAUGCUCAGGAGGCCCAUAAAAAUAACAAAGGGUGAAACAAGCCAGAGCCCUGGGCUGGGCUGUGGGAUCUGCUGCUGCGCCUCCAACCCGGGCAGCCGCACUCCACGCCAGUGCUGCGCUCACCAGCAAACAUCCACUGGAGAGGGUUUAUUCCUGGCUGCCUGCAAAGAGUCACCCCUGGAAUAGGUGCAGAAGACGGCAGGUGCUAAGGAUGGGGAUUACCAAAAAGAACUACCGCCAUCUCCCUAGAGGAAUCACAGCCAUCCUGUCCCGCAGGGCCGGGCUGGAGCCAGCUCCAGGGCAGAGGUGAGUGAGGAUGGAGAAAGACUUUGCUCGGCUGCAUUACAGCAAGAUCUCCUUUUGCAGUUUAAAACCCAUUGGUGUAUUUGACUCUGCCCUUUCCCUCCCUCUCCCUGCAUCUGCUCCCUGCCUCAGGUACCACUCAGAUGAAAGGGAUCAGCACUUCCAUGACAUAGGCACAACAGUGGGGCUGCCCCGUGGCUGUUAUCUCUCAA